GAGCAUAAAGGUGAGGCUAGGGGCGAUUAAGAAGAAGAGGAACGCUGUGUUGAACUAUCUGAAGAAUAAUGUUGUUGAUCUUCUCAAGAUUGGCCUUGAUAUUAAUGUAUAUGGAAGGGUUCUCACCCAAAAAAUAAAGAACCUCAUUUUUGUGCUGCUGUGGGUGGAGCUGGGAGCAGCGCAGCAACUUGAAAAGGCAUGGCUGAUGCUGUAGCAGAUAUGACAAAAAGAUCAGCAUACUUUCAACAAAUUGAAGAAGAUGUUCUGAAAUAUUCAAAGGCUUUAACAGAUAUGAGAACUAUCGUGAGUUUUUUCCAAACAAAAGACAUGAAUGAGCUGCUAGAGUUCCACAAGAAAUUAGAAUCCAUUCUUGAACACUUGACUGAUGAGACACAGGUCUUAUCAAGGUUUGAAGGAUUCCCUACAAAGAAGUUAAAAACAAUGAGGACAGCAGCAACACUCCACUCAUAGUUAAAUGCAUUGAUCACAGAACUACACAAUUGGAAAAUAGGAAGAGCGGUUGAAGUGGAUGAUUGUUGUGGAGAUUAUGAAUGAAUCUCCAGCCCAUUUGCUUGGUUCUACAAAGCUAUUCACACAAGUCAGUUCAUUUCUAGCUCUGGCAGUAACUGUUGUUGCAGAAGUUGUCAAAACAAUGGUUGCCAAGGGAUAUGUUCUGGGACAAGAUGCAUUAAUCAAGGGGAUUUGUCAAAACAAUGAGUUAGGUCAUGAUACUUAGCCUACCGGGCGUCAGUAUUAUGUAUUUCAGUUUUUGU